CUGGAGGUAUCAGAAGUGCGAAUGCUGACAUAAGUAACGAUAAAGCGGGUGAAAAGCCCGCUCGCCGGAAGACCAAGGGUUCCUGUCCAACGUUAAUCGGGGCAGGGUGAGUCGACCCCUAAGGCGAGGCCGAAAGGCGUAGUCGAUGGGAAACAGGUUAAUAUUCCUGUACUUGGUGUUACUGCGAAGGGGGGACGGAGAAGGCUAUGUUGGCCGGGCGACGGUUGUCCCGGUUUAAGCGUGUAGGCUGGUUUUCCAGGCAAAUCCGGAAAAUCAAGGCUGAGGCGUGAUGACGAGGCACUACGGUGCUGAAGCAACAAAUGCCCUGCUUCCAGGAAAAGCCUCUAAGCAUCAGGUAACAUCAAAUCGUACCCCAAACCGACACAGGUGGUCAGGUAGAGAAUACCAAGGCGCUUGAGAGAACUCGGGUGAAGGAACUAGGCAAAAUGGUGCCGUAACUUCGGGAGAAGGCACGCUGAUAUGUAGGUGAAGUCCCUUGCGGAUGGAGCUGAAAUCAGUCGAAGAUACCAGCUGGCUGCAACUGUUUAUUAAAAACACAGCACUGUGCAAACACGAAAGUGGACGUAUACGGUGUGACGCCUG
rnacentral:rRNA from 1 species